rnacentral:rRNA from 1 species
CCUACGGGAGGCAGCAGUGGGGAAUAUUGGACAAUGGGGGGAACCCUGAUCCAGCCAUGCCGCGUGUGAAGAAGGCCCUCGGGUUGUAAAGCACUUUCAGUGAGGAAGAACGCCUGGUGGUUAAUACCCAUCAGGAAAGACAUCACUCACAGAAGAAGCACCGGCUAACUCCGUGCCAGCAGCCGCGGUAAUACGGAGGGUGCGAGCGUUAAUCGGAAUUACUGGGCGUAAAGCGCGCGUAGGUGGCUUGAUAAGCCGGUUGUGAAAGCCCCGGGCUCAACCUGGGAACGGCAUCCGGAACUGUCAAGCUAGAGUGCAGGAGAGGAAGGUAGAAUUCCCGGUGUAGCGGUGAAAUGCGUAGAGAUCGGGAGGAAUACCAGUGGCGAAGGCGGCCUUCUGGACUGACACUGACACUGAGGUGCGAAAGCGUGGGUAGCAAACAGGAUUAGAUACCCCUGUAGUC